CAAAUUUUGACAAAUAAAUAAGACUGAAACAGAUAAUUCUAUAAUAAUACACAAUAUAAUCAAACCUAUGCUGGUCGAACGUUCGAUUAAUAGCCAAUGCCAGAGAUCUAACUUACAAAGGGAACGGGGGUGGGGGGGGGGGGGGGUGGAGAACUGGAAUCCAGGUUGAAUACUGCAUCUGUAGGCAGCCAUUAGUAGGGUUCCAGAUUAACAUCAAGAGGAUAUUUUGGUAAUUGCACAAACUGAAGACAUGUCUGGGAACUUGUUGCAACAAGUGAGCAAGGCCCAAGAAACAAAUGUCGUUCACUGCAUAAUCUCGAGCUUGACAAAACCCUAAAUCUGCUGACUACAAGUAGAAAACUUGUCAUUAAUUUUUGCAAAACAAAAUAUUGAGAUAUAUUAAGACCCUCAACAGAAAUCAGCAAACCUUAACAGUAAUUGUGAGUAAGAUCAAGCUAAUCAUAGUUACAUACAAAAUCAGCACAAAAACUGCAGCCUUAAACCCUACUUAAGGAAUUUGUAGAGCAGAAUGAAGCGUACCUUUGUUCAGGUAGUUGAAGUUCUUUUUUUUUAACAGAGCAUAAAAGUAACAGACUAUAAUUAAGCAAAAUGAAACCUUGAUUGAUUACUAAACAGAACUAAAAUAUAAAGUGAACUUAAGCAGUACAGGAUAAGAAAACAGUGGAAGGGAGCUCCCUUCAGUCCAAGUACAGAAAGCUUAAGAUUCAACUUGACUCUCGCAUCAUUCACUCAGUUACCGUGUAAAACUCAUCAACUACACAGCAUUUGGAUGAAUGAGUCAACAGCAAAUUGAAUCCUACGGCCUCCCAUAACUGGACUGAAGAAAGCUCUCUUCUAAAGUCGCGUCAUCAAUAUUCAAUAAAAUGGAAGUUUAAAAAUUUCAAGCAUCUCUCCAUGGAAUAAAAAUGAAAAAUUGGACACAGUUAAAAACACAUAAAAAAAUCUUAGUGAACAAACUUUGGAACCCCCUUCUACUUUUUAGCUUAAUAUAUGUUGGAACUUCUUCAUGUAAGAGUGGUAAAAGAGAGGGUCGAAGAAGGAAGGCAGGGCUUUUCUUUGGGGUGGACGUGGGCGUGGUGUUUGGAGAGACAGGGCUAAAUGUCUUGGAGAUUCACUCAGCUCUUGAGUAAUUUUCUGUAGAAUCAUGGCUUUAUAUAGCAAAGAGAGGGGCAGGGAUUAGACUAUAUUUCUGGUUAAAAUAAUAUGUUGCAAUGUGACAGAAAGAGAUGCAUAUUCUUUCUUUCUUGUACACUCCCUU
rnacentral:lncRNA from 1 species